rnacentral:rRNA from 1 species
CAGUCGCCACGGUAAUACGUAGGGUGCAAGCGUUAAUCGGAAUUACUGGGCGUAAAGCGUGCGCAGGCGGUUAUAUAAGACAGAUGUGAAAUCCCCGGGCUCAACCUGGGAACUGCAUUUGUGACUGUAUAGCUAGAGUACGGCAGAGGGGGAUGGAAUUCCGCGUGUAGCAGUGAAAUGCGUAGAUAUGCGGAGGAACACCGAUGGCGAAGGCAAUCCCCUGGGCCUGUACUGACGCUCAUGCAAGAAAGCGUGGGGAGCAAACAGGAUUAGAUACCCCCGUAGUCCCUGUCUCUUAUAC